rnacentral:lncRNA from 1 species
UGAGCCAAAACCUUGUAAAAUUGCUCAAGAUAUAGCUCAAGACACAACCGCUAGUAAAUCGGGUCACUUACUACCCUUAAAUUGCAUGCACUGAUUUCAAAAUCUAAUACCUCCUUCACUUCAACUUGGAAUCCAGUAAGCAGUAUACAAAAAGUGUAGCCAAAAAAGUGCUUUCUCCAGUCGCAGUCACCAAUCCUCAAUUUUCUUCUGUACGCGUGCGUUAUGUCAAAAAUAGUGACAGUAGCUCUCAAAUCAACACCUUAACUUUGAGCACCUAUAUCUCCUUCAUAUAAACUCCAAAUCAUAUAAAAUUUGUACCAAAACCAUAGCCCAAAACCUAAACUUGCUGAUUCUAGCCUUCAAAGCUUGAAUGGCUUCGAAAAACUAACC